rnacentral:rRNA from 1 species
UGGGCCAGGGCGGGGUGCUUACCAUGCAGUCGAGCGAGAGCGGAUUAUGGCUUGCUAUAAUUGUCAGCUAAGUGGCGCACGGGUGAGUAAUAUAUAGGUAAUGUGCCCUAGAGAGGGGGAUAACAGUUGGAAACGACUGCUAAUACCCCAUAUGCCUUUAAGACAGAAGUCUGCAAGGGAAAUAUUUAUAGCUCUAGGAUCAGCCUGUACGGUAUCAGUUAGUUGGUGAGGUAAUGGCUCACCAAGACAAUGACGCCUAACUGGUUUGAGAGGAUGAUCAGUCACACUGGAACUGAGACACGGUCCAGACUCCUACGGGAGGCAGCAGUGGGGAAUAUUGCACAAUGGACGAAAGUCUGAUGCAGCAACGCCGCGUGGAGGAUGACACAUUUCGGUGCGUAAACUCCUUUUAUAUAGGAAGAUAAUGACGGUACUAUAUGAAUAAGCACCGGCUAACUCCGUGCCAGCAGCCGCGGUAAUACGGAGGGUGCAAGCGUUACUCGGAAUCACUGGGCGUAAAGAGCGUGUAGGCGGAUUGAUAAGUCAGAAGUGAAAUCCAAUAGCUCAACUAUUGAACUGCUUUUGAAACUAUUAAUCUAGAAUAUGGGAGAGGUAGAUGGAAUUUCUGGUGUAGGGGUAAAAUCCGUAGAGAUCAGAAGGAAUACCGAUUGCGAAGGCGAUCUACUGGAACAUUAUUGACGCUGAGACGCGAAAGCGUGGGGAGCAAACAGGAUUAGAUACCCUGGUAGUCCACGCCCUAAACGAUGUACACUAGUUGUUGUGAGGCUCGACCUUGCAGUAAUGCAGUUAACACAUUAAGUGUACCGCCUGGGGAGUACGGUCGCAAGAUUAAAACUCAAAGGAAUAGACGGGGACCCGCACAAGCGGUGGAGCAUGUGGUUUAAUUCGACGAUACACGAAGAACCUUACCUGGACUUGACAUAGUAAGAACUUUCUAGAGAUAGAUUGUGUCUGCUUGCAGAAACUUAUAUACAGGUGCUGCACGGCUGUCGUCAGCUCGUGUCGUGAGAUGUUGGGUUAAGUCCCGCAACGAGC